GGGCGAUUAGCUCAGCGGUAGAGCGCUGCACUCACAUUGCAGAGGUCACUGGUUCGAAACCAGUAUCGCCCACCA
rnacentral:tRNA from 1 species